AGAGUUUGAUCCUGGCUCAGAACGAACGCUGACGGUGUGCCUCAUACAUGCAAGUCGAGCGGGCUCAGCAAUGGGUCAGCGGCGGACGGGUGAGUAACACGUGAACAAUCUGCCCCCGAAUUUGGGAUAACGGUUCCAACGAGCCGCUAAUACCGGAUAGGUUUUCCUUGUCUCCUGGCAGGGUUAAGAAAGUUGCAAUUGCAACGUUCGGGGAUGAGUUCGCGGCCCAUUAGCUAGUUGGCGGGGUAAUGGCCCACCAAGGCGACGACGGGUAGCCGGCCUGAGAGGGUGAUCGGCCACACUGGGACUGAGAUACGGCCCAGACUCCUACGGGAGGCAGCAGUAGGGAAUUUUGCGCAAUGGACGAAAGUCUGACGCAGCAACACCGUGUGAGGGAUGAAGCAUUUCGGUGUGUAAACCUCUGUCGAUGAUGAAUAAAGCAUUCGAGAGUGGAAAGCUCGGGUGUUGAAGGUAAUCAUGAAGGAAGCACCGGCUAACUCUGUGCCAGCAGCCGCGGUAAUACAGGGGGUGCAAGCGUUGUUCGGAAUCACUGGGCGUAAAGGGAGCGUAGGCGGAACUACAAGACAGGGGUCAAAUCUCCGGGCUCAACCUGGAACUUGCCUUUGUGACUGUAGUUCUUGAGUAUGGUAGAGGUCAGCGGAAUUUCCGGUGUAGCGGUGGAAUGCGUAGAGAUCGGAAAGAACACCAGAGGCGAAGGCGGCUGACUGGACCAAUACUGACGCUGAGGCGCGAAAGCGUGGGGAGCAAACAGGAUUAGAUACCCUGGUAGUCCACGC
rnacentral:rRNA from 1 species